CAGGUGCGGAAUAGGACAGCUUCUUUCCCGUGGCGCGAGAGGAGCGACGGAGCCGCUGCUGGAGGGUCGCGUGGGGAGGAAAGAUCUUCAGAGGAAGAAUACAUCCUUCUCUACAGGAUCCUCUUGCUCCAACAGAACCACACCUGAUACUUCAGGAGGACUGCAGCCACAUUUCUAAUUGGACUGCUGCCAACACCCUGACCCACAGGGUGUCAGCCUUCCCCAAGAAAAUGCCUGGGAAAGUCUGUGCCUGCUCUCUAUAGCCAGAAAGCUGCUGCCAUACAUGGACUCUCACUACCAAGAAGACCAGAAGAGGACCAAUGGGGACACCAUUGGGAUCCAGGGGGUGGUGAUAUUUUCUACUCAAUCUGUCAUCUCUGUCACUCUCUUUCUGUCCCCCACUAUUCUCUUAUUUCUGUCUCUCACACUCUCCCCUCUCCCCCUCAUAUUCACCGUUAAAUAAAAUUGAUAC